AUACGGAAGGUCCGGGCGUUAUCCGGAUUUAUUGGGUUUAAAGGGAGCGCAGGCGGAGAUGCAAGCGUGACGUCAAAUUUCGGGGCUCAACCCCGUCUCGCGUCGCGAACUGCGUCCCUUGGUUGCGGGAAGGGGAGGCGGAACUCGUGGUGUAGCGGUGAAAUGCAUAGAUAUCACGAAGAACUCCGAUCGCGAAGGCAGCCUUCCGGCCCGUCAACGACGCUCAUGCUCGAAGGUGCGGGUAUCAAACAGGAUUAGAUACCGUGGUAGUACGCGCAGUAAACGAGGGACACCCGCGGUUUGGCCUGUAUGGCUGAGCCGCCAAGCGAAAGCGUUAAGUGUCCCCCCUGGGGAGUACGCCGGCAACGGUGAAACGCAAAUGAAUUGACGGGG
rnacentral:rRNA from 1 species